UCCUUCGCACUUACACUAGCUGAGUAACGGGUAUCAGAUAGUCGGGGAACUCGACUAUAGCGUUCUCUCUUGUUUUUUUGUAUAACAACUCGCAGUGAGCGACAGCGGCGCCAGCCUAUCGCCGCGCAAAACAGUUGUUCUCAGAACUACAGAACUACAACAACCAUUCGCAAUGCAAAGAUUGGCUGAUGCAAUAUUACUAUAGUGAUGAAAUUACUAUUCUGGUGAAAUAACCAAAAAAGCAUACCAACUACAUACAAACGGUCACCACGCACAGCAGUUUGAUAUGUCAAAUUUUUCUUUUUUAAUUGGUAUCAUUUUAUGAGUUGGGGUAUAUGGAUGAUUCCGGUGCCUUAUCAGCGAUUGAUGUACACUUAUAUGGUCAUCACACGCAGCAACUUGUUGGUAUAAUUGUUGUAAAUUGUCCAGCACAAGCGAUCCCGGUGCCUUGUGAGAGAUUGAUGUACACAUAGACGGUCGCCUGUUAAGCAAUUUGAACUAGGUUUUGUUUGUUUCUUUUGUUUUGGACGUCAUUUUGUUUCAAUAACUUUUUACUUAAUUUAUUAUUUUACCACUCACUACUAAAAUCCCCACAACCACUGCCGUCACAUGUUCAUCACCUCUUUAGAAUUAGAACGAUAAGCGUAGUGGGCAUUGUUAAUCCCUUGUCCGUAGACCGGCUGCGCCAGUUACAAUCCUGUGGCUGGGGAGGAAAAGCUUUAAAAAAAACAACUGUGUAGUUCGGGGUAUGAAACGAGAAUGAUUCUCUUUAAUGCAAAAAGUUGUAUGCUUAGGCGAAAUGUCUCUUCGGCCGAGUUCGUGUUGGCAAUCUUCGUUAAAACUCCUCGGCUCUGGAUUUGUUGCCGGGUCGGUGUUGUUUCCCUGUGGCCGGGGAGAGGGGCAUGUUAAGUCACGCACACAUAUUAAUAUGGUUGAUUCAAAAAGUUACACCAAGUGAGAUUGAUCGCAUUAUAUCAGCCGAAAUUCCAGAUCAAAACAGCGAUCCACAAUUAUUUCAAGUUGUUACGAAAAACAUGAUUCACGGACCAUGCGGUGAACUAAAUUUAAAUUUUUCCAUGCAUGAUCGAUAGAAAAUGCUCAAAGCGGUAUCCAAGAGCAUUAUAACAAUAACAGGCAAUGACGGAUACCCAUCGUAUCGACGUCGGUCACAAGACGAUUUUGGCCAUACAACAACUAUUAGAGUUCAUAAUCAAAUCAUAAUCACUAUCAUUGAUAAUCGUUGUGUAGUGCCAUAUUUACCGCUAUUAUCAUAAAUAUUUGAAGCUCACAUUAACGUUGAAUAUUGGAAUUCAGUGAAGUCAAUCAAAAAUAUAUGCAAAUAUGUCAACAAGGGAAGAGACAUGGUUGUUUUUGGAGUAACUGGUGACAAUAGAUAUGAUGAAAUUUCACAAUAUCAAAUUGGACGUUACAUUAGCACUAAUGAAGCUCUUUGGAGAAUUUAUUCAUUUCCAAUGCAUGAGCGAUAUCCUGCUGUGGUUAAUUUGACUGUUCAUUUGGAAAAUGGACAACGUGUUUAUUUUACUAAUUCAAAUGUGGAGCAGAGAGCGGCACAGUUACCAGAAACAACAUUACCUGCAUUCUUCCAAUUGUGUGAAAGUGAUGAAUUUGCAGGAACAUUGGUGUAUUCGGACGUACUAUUUCAUUUGGACUGCAAAAUAAAUGGCAACGACGUAAAAGAGGAGCCCCAGUUGAUGGUCAUCCAGGCGUUUUAUAUGAAGAUACUAUGGGAAGGUUGUACACAGUUCAUCCAAACAACGCAGAGUGCAUUUAUUUGCGACUGUUGUUGGUAAACGUUGUAGGACCACGCUUAUAUCAACAUUUGCGAACAGUUAAUGGUCAUUUAUUUCAGACAUAUCGCGAAGCAUGUGAACACUUACAUUUGUUAGAAAAUGAUGCACAUUGGGAUUUGACACUUAACUAUGCAUCGAUUUCUUCUUCUCCACAUCAAAUACGUAUGCUAUAUGCCAUAAUAUUAUCGAAAUGCUUUCCAUCGAAUCCACUUGAUUUGUGGAAUAAAUAUAUAAGUUUAAUGGCCGAAGAAUUUUUAAAUCGAAUGCAUCAUCACACCAGAAAUCACGAUUUGCUGAUCUCAUUGGAAAUGUAUAACGAGGCAUUGAUAUCGAUUGAAGAUAUGUGCCUUGCGAUGGCAAAUAAAGCAUUAGGUCAAUUAGGUAUGCCUUCACCGAAUCGUCCAAUGCAUGAUUUGUUUGAUCGAGAAUUGCAACGUGAACAUCAGUACAAUAUUAAUGAAUAUUAAUUUGUGAAUUGGAAUUAACCCAAAUUGAACGACCAACAAAAACAUGUGCAAGCAGUACAGAAUGAUGUUGGUGGAUUGUAUUUUUUCGAUGCGCCUGGAGGUACGGGUAAAACAUUUGUGGUAUAAUUGAUUUUGCCAGCCACAACAAAAAAUUGCAUUGGCACUUGCUUCGUCAGGAAUUGCUGCUACUUUAUUGGAUGGUGGGCGAACAGCACACUCAGCAUUAAAAUUGUCGUUAAGUGUGCAGGUGAUUGACAAUCCUACAUGCAACAUAUCAAGAAAUUGUGCAAUGGCAACAGCUUUGUACCAAGCAGCAAUUAUUCUAUUGGAUGAAUGUACAACCAUUAAAAAUCUCUGGAAGCAUUAAACAGAACAAUGCAAGAUCUACGUCGCAAUCAACAAAUUUUUGGUGGUGCACUAAUAUUUUUGUCAGAAGAUUUCCGACAAACAUUGCCCGUCAUUCCACGUGCAACGUUAGCGGAUCAGGUUAAUGCGUGCUUGAAGUAUUAUUUCCUGUGGUGAUAUGUCCAAAAAUUGACAUUGAACAUAAACAUGCGUGUUCAAUUGCACAA